UACGUAGGGAGCAAGCGUUGUCCGGAAUUAUUGGGCGUAAAGAGCUCGUAGGCGGUUUGUCGCGUCUGUCGUGAAAGCUUGGGGCUUAACCCCAAGUCUGCGGUGGAUACGGGCAGACUAGAGGCAGGUAGGGGAGAACGGAAUUCCCGGUGUAGCGGUGAAAUGCGCAGAUAUCAGGAAGAACACCCGUGGCGAAGGCGGCUCUCUGGGACGGUACUGACGCUGAGACGCGAAAGCGUGGGGAGCGAACAGG
rnacentral:rRNA from 1 species